UCUCAUGUCUAUAGAGAGGUCCAGCCCUCCGAUGCAACUUGCCCACUGUGUCCAGCCGAGACAAAUCAACAUCAGAAAGACCUUAGUAGCUCUACUACGGUGGAAGACCUAUAGACUUAAUAUUGGUUAAUCAGGUCUUAGUGUUUGCAACUUGAGCUCUUCAUAAGAGGUAAUCGAACAAUUGGCCAGGUAAGCAGGUGGGAGGCUCCCCUUACUCAGAGAGUAAGGUCCUAAUUAAGUAACCACCUUUCAUGCUUUCCUAGACACCAAUUAGAUCAAGUAAUCUAAUAUGACUCGCUCAUGUUGGUUCACUCUCGACUUGAUU
rnacentral:lncRNA from 1 species